GUGAAUGAUGACAGCUUGACUAGAGUCUCUGAAUGUUAUGAAGUUAUAGUAAACGCUCUGACAC